GACGAACGCUGGCGGCGUGCUUAACACAUGCAAGUCGAACGGAAAGGCCCUGCUUUUGUGGGGUGCUCGAGUGGCGAACGGGUGAGUAACACGUGAGUAACCUGCCCUUGACUUUGGGAUAACUUCAGGAAACUGGGGCUAAUACCGGAUAGGAGCUCCUGCUGCAUGGUGGGGGUUGGAAAGUUUCGGCGGUUGGGGAUGGACUCGCGGCUUAUCAGCUUGUUGGUGGGGUAGUGGCUUACCAAGGCUUUGACGGGUAGCCGGCCUGAGAGGGUGACCGGCCACAUUGGGACUGAGAUACGGCCCAGACUCCUACGGGAGGCAGCAGUGGGGAAUAUUGCACAAUGGGCGGAAGCCUGAUGCAGCAACGCCGCGUGCGGGAUGACGGCCUUCGGGUUGUAAACCGCUUUCGCCUGUGACGAAGCGUGAGUGACGGUAAUGGGUAAAGAAGCACCGGCUAACUACGUGCCAGCAGCCGCGGUGAUACGUAGGGUGCGAGCGUUGUCCGGAUUUAUUGGACGUAAAGGGCUCGUAGGUGGUUGAUCGCGUCGGAAGUGUAAUCUUGGGGCUUAACCCUGAGCGUGCUUUCUAUACGGGUUGACUUGAGGAAGGUAGGGGAGAAUGGAAUUCCUGGCGGAGCGGUGGAAUGCGCUUAUAUCAGGAGGAACACCAGUGGCGAAUGCGGUUCUCUGGUCCCUUUCCUGACGCUGAGGAGCGAAAGCGUGGGCAGCGAACAGGCUCAGAUACCAUGGUAGUCCACGCUGUAAACGGAGGGUAUUAGGUGUGGGGUCCAUUCCACGGAUUCCGUGCCGUAGCUAACGCAUUAAGUACCCCGCCUGGGGAGUACGGCCGCAAGGCUAAAACUCAAAGGAAUUGACGGGGCCCCGCACAAGCGGCGGAGCAUGCGGAUUAAUUCGAUGCAACGAGUAGAACCUCACCUGGGUUUGACAUGGAUCGGGAGCGCUCAGAGAUGGGUGUGCCUCUUUUGGGGUCGGUUCACAGGUGGUGCAUGGCUGUCGUCAGCUCGUGUCGUGAGAUGUUGGGUUAAGUCCCGCAACGAGCGCAACCCUUGUUCACUGUUGCCAGCACGUUAUGGUGGGGACUCAGUGGAGACCGCCGGGGUCAACUCGGAGGAAGGUGGGGAUGACGUCAAGUCAUCAUGCCCCUUAUGUCCAGGGCUUCACGCAUGCUACAAUGGCUGGUACAGAGAGUGGCGAGCCUGUGAGGGUGAGCGAAUCUCGGAAAGCCGGUCUCAGUUCGGAUUGGGGUCUGCAACUCGACCUCAUGAAGUCGGAGUCGCUAGUAAUCGCAGAUCAGCAACGCUGCGGUGAAUACGUUCCCGGGGCU
rnacentral:rRNA from 1 species